rnacentral:tRNA from 1 species
GCCGAGGUGGCUCAAGGGCAGAGCGGCUCAUUCGUGAUGAGCAGGGUGUGGGUUCGAGUCCCACCCUCGGCUCCA